rnacentral:misc_RNA from 1 species
CCUUAUGUUCAGGUGCUAAUAGGACAUACAAAAAUUGCUUUUGUAUGUUACCCACAAAGAGCUGUGACAAGAAAAGUUUCUUAUUUCCAGUUCAGUGAAUCCACAGCUACAGUGAUGAAAUUCUACAGUGAGCAGGAAGCAUGCAAAAAGCUCCAUGCAUCUGCAGCAACAUAUGAAUUCACCAGGAGGAUGAACAAAUUAUUUGACUGCUUGAACUCUCAAAGGCCUGAGCAUGUGCAGUACAAUGAAGCUGAACAUGUUGCUACACUGAAAGAGAGCGUUGCAUGGCUUGACAGCUGCUGCACUACAUAAAAAGUCUGCCGAAGCAGAGGCAGAUUUGCUUUUUGAGCAAGCCGACAUGGGAGGCUCUAAGAGUAACCCUGCUCAGUACUAUAUCUCUUGUUGAGAACCUUCUUAAAGCAGGUUUUCGCUAUGCACUGGUGGGAAAGUUUGGACAGGACCCAUUAGAGAGAUUUUUUGGCAUUGUCAGACAUGUUGCCAGUGAUGGAGGACAGCCGACAGUCCAGCAAUUCCUAUUUCUAUAUAGGAUGCUUUCUGUGAAGAAUCUUGUCCAGCCGCCCAAGCGAUCCUCUGUAGCUGGAGAUGGUCCACAACUGCUCCUCAAGCUGCAAGAUUUAUUCAACAAAGAAAAGCCUACUGGGGCCUGUCAUGCUGAUUCUUUGGCUAUUCUUCUGGAUGAAGUCCUCUUGGAACCUGCAGAAACUGUGGAGGAGGCUUCAGUUCUCUGCCAUUAGCAGUCCCCAAAAGAAUGCAUAAGGGAUUGCCUUGCCGGCUAUGUCGCAAAAAAGUUUUCUUCGUUGAGCUGCUCGAGCUGUGUAGGAACAAUGAGAAGUUUUGAACAAGCGGCAACUGGCCUGAUUCUUGCAAAAUCCAAAGGUGGUCUACAAGUGCCCUCCAGCCACCUAGUCGCUCUCCUCCAAAUUGUGGAAGAUCAUUUGGAAGUGUACACAGUUGACAAAACUGCCUGUUCUGAUGUGUACGUUAAUAUUGUGGAGAAUGUUUUGAUGGACAGUCGUACUGCUACAGCUGCUGUCGGCUGCAAAUCGCACUUUGUAAGCCCCACUGCAGAAGUAGUUCAGUUUUUUCUUAAGACCCGCUUGCAUUUUUUCACGAGAGAAAAAAAAAGCAGAUGCAAGCAAAGGGGUGAGCUUCAUGUCCAGCAGGGGUGGUAGGAAACCAACCAGUUGAAGGGGUACCAGUUAAAGGGGCGCAGUAGGUAUCACGAUUAUCGUGUAAAGGCGACCACUUACAAAAAAUUGCAAUGCUGAUGAUGAAAGAGAACAAGGGUGUUGCGAGAUCUGAGCAGGGCAUUGAUAAAAACACAUUUGCUUUAUACUUUGUUGCAACCUCAAUUUGUGUUAUACCAGGAUAGAGUAGUUCACAGCAAUAGCGCCCUUACCGCGACCAUCUAUGAAAGGUAUAGCAUUAGAAUUCCUUUAAUGCAAGUGUUAAAACAAUAAUAUGCAUUGUUUUAUUUUCCAUUGUCCUUUAGUCUUGGCUAUUGAUGGGCUACAAUUCUUCAAUUGCAUGUACUUUUAAGUCUGUAUGCUGCUAUAAAUAAGAAGGUUAUUAGCACACUGUUAGCUAUAUUUGCAUUAUUAUUUCCUGAGCAAGUUGUGUGUGCAUGUUUAAGUAACAGCUGAAGAAGUAGAAAGGUGGUAUCUCUAACAAGCCAUUUAAAAAAAACAUUGCUGUAUUUGUGAUGUGGCUACUUGUGUUCGUUUGAGAGUUGUUUAGCCGUGUGUUAUAAAAUGCUUAUGCUUUACACUUUCUUGUUUAUAGAAACAAUCGAUAUGCAUUCUGUAUUUAUUGCCAUUCGUUUGCUGAUGUUUGUUUCCUGCCCCCCAAUGCAUACCUCUCACGUUUGAUCUUAUUUUUUUAUGCUUAUUAUAUCAGGUCAUGCUUUUAACAAACUUCUUGAAUUGUGAAUGAUGGACCAUUCAUGACUGGACGCCUCUGUGCUGUCUGUAUUUCUCUCCGCUUAUUUUACAUCAUAAAUAAAUGAUCGUGCUUGUAUGUUGUUUUUGCACCAACACGUUUUAUUUCUUUUCUUAAUCGAAUUAUAAAGUUUUUUUUUUCAUUUUUUGACCAUGAUAAGAAUUUCAGGACCGGUGAUUGCAACAUUUUAACAUAUUGUAAAUAGUUGCGCAUUAAGAACCAAAAUUCCUAGUCUCGUCGUUUCUGUGUCGAAACAACGAGCAGCGUGAGUAAGUGCUGGGCUUACUGACGCUUCUAAACGACUGCUUGCUAAGGCAAUUGCCUAAUUACAAUACAGCUAGUUUCAACUGUGCAGGUCCUAACACUUCACGUUCGCCUUAAUCCGUUGCUAAAAGCCGCACCGAAGACAUUUAGUAGCUUAGUUUGUCUUGCAUUAAUCCUACCUAA